rnacentral:rRNA from 1 species
AGAGUUUGAUCCUGGCUCAGGAUGAACGCUGGCGGCGUGCUUAACACAUGCAAGUCGAACGAAGCGCUUAAGAAAGAUUCUUCGGAUGAAAGCUUUUGUGACUGAGUGGCGGACGGGUGAGUAACGCGUGGGUAACCUGCCUCACACAGGGGGAUAACAGUUGGAAACGACCGCUAAUACCGCAUAACCCGCUGGUACCGCAUGGUACUGACGGAAAAGAUUUAUCGGUGUGAGAUGGACCCGCGUCUGAUUAGCCAGUUGGCAGGGUAACGGCCUACCAAAGCGACGAUCAGUAGCCGGCCUGAGAGGGUGAACGGCCACAUUGGGACUGAGACACGGCCCAAACUCCUACGGGAGGCAGCAGUGGGGAAUAUUGCACAAUGGGGGAAACCCUGAUGCAGCGACGCCGCGUGAGUGAAGAAGUAUUUCGGUAUGUAAAGCUCUAUCAGCAGGGAAGAAAAUGACGGUACCUGACCAAGAAGCCCCGGCUAACUACGUGCCAGCAGCCGCGGUAAUACGGAAGGUCCGGGCGUUAUCCGGAUUUAUUGGGUUUAAAGGGAGCGUAGGCCGGCUUUUAAGUCAGCUGUGAAAGUCCGCGGCUCAACCGUGGAAUUGCAGUUGAAACUGGAAGCCUUGAGUGAACACAGGGAUGCCGGAAUUCAUGGUGUAGCGGUGAAAUGCUUAGAUAUCAUGAAGAACUCCGAUCGCGAAGGCAAGUGUCCGGGGUGCAACUGACGCUGAGGCUCGAAAGCGUGGGGAGCACACAGGGAUUAGAUACCCCUGGAAUCCUCGCCGUAAACGAUGAUUACUAGGCGUCGGGGGGCAGGGGCCCUUCGGUGCCGCAGCAAACGCAAUAAGUAAUCCACCUGGGGAGUACGUCCGCAAGGAUGAAACUCAAAGGAAUUGACGGGGACCCGCACAAGCGGUGGAGCAUGUGGUUUAAUUCGAAGCAACGCGAAGAACCUUACCCGGCCCUGACAUCCCCCUGACAGUGUAUGUAAUGUACAUUCCCUUCGGGGCAGGGGAGACAGGUGGUGCAUGGUUGUCGUCAGCUCGUGUCGUGAGAUGUUGGGUUAAGUCCCGCAACGAGCGCAACCCUUACCCACAGUAGCCAGCACAAAAGGUGGGCACUCUGUGGGGACUGCCGGGGACAACCCGGAGGAAGGUGGGGAUGACGUCAAAUCAUCAUGCCCCUUAUGGCCGGGGCUACACACGUGCUACAAUGGCGUAAACAAAGGGAAGCGAGAGAGUGAUCUUAAGCGAAACUCAAAAAUAACGUCCCAGUUCGGAUUGCAGUCUGCAACUCGACUGCAUGAAGCUGGAAUCGCUAGUAAUCGCGGAUCAGAAUGCCGCGGUGAAUACGUUCCCGGGUCUUGCACACACCGCCCGUCA